rnacentral:tRNA from 1 species
GCCCCCAUAGCUUAAUGGUAAAGCAGCGGACUUUUAAUCCGUUGAUUGGGGUUCGACUCCCUGUGGGGGCACAA